GACGAACGCUGGCGGCGUGCUUAACACAUGCAAGUCGAACGGAAAGGCCCCUUUGGGGGUACUCGAGUGGCGAACGGGGGAGUAACACGUGAGUAACCUGCCCUUGCCUUCGGGAUAACUUCAGGAAACUGGGGCUAAUACCGGAUAGGAAUCCUUUCUGCAUGGUGGGGGUUGGAAAGUUUCGGCCGUUUUGGAUGGGCUGGCGGCCUAUCGGCUUGCUGGUUGGGUGAUGGCUUACCAAGGCUUUGACGGGUAGCCGGCCUGGGGGGGUGACCGGCCACCUUGGGACUGACGGACGGCACAGGCUCCGACGGGAGGGAACAGGGGGGAAUAUUGCAGGAUGGGCGGCAGCCUGAUGCAGAAACGCCGCGUGCGGGAUGACGGCCUUAGGGUUGUAAACCACUUUCAGAAGGGGCGAAGCUUGUGGUGACGGUACCUGCAGAAGAAGCACCGGCUAACUACGUG
rnacentral:rRNA from 1 species